rnacentral:misc_RNA from 1 species
ACACACACACACACACACACACACACACACAGAAGCUUUACAAGUUCUGAUACAUGACUUCUGAAUUUUCGAAAUGAUCGCAGUUUUAUUAUUCUUGAUAUUUCUGCUAGUUGGAUUAGUAUACAAAUAUUUGUUUAAUGAUGAUAUACAAAAAGAUAUUUUCUCUUGCUGUAAAGGUUGUCGACACGUACAUGCCUUGCCUCUGAUAAUGCAUUGCGGGACAAAUCUAGAGGACAAUAAAUUAUUAUACGCUCUCAACAAAGUAUCACAUCCGAAUCUGGAUUUUUACCAAAAUAGAAUCAAGUCUGAACCCAACGGUGAUUUCAUUGAAAAUAUUCUACGUAAAUGGUCUCAGAAUUAUGAGUGUCUGGAGAAGAAAGCAGGUUAUGUUGAAUGGUUAUUUCCAACUCCAGAAGAUGCAACGUCUCACAAAUAUUCUUCACCACUCACUUGUUAUGAAUCUCGUAUAAUGCAAAAUGACAUUAAAAUCCAAAAAAGAUACCUUCGCAGUUUCAGAAUGAUGCUAAACUUUUUGGGUUUUCAAUUAACAAAGUCUAUGCAGAUUGUUCUCACUCCAGAAGUUAAUCAAAGAUUCUGUCAUUUACAAAACCCUGAGUGAAGCAGACCCAUGAUUAAUAAGGCACUGCAGUCAGGAAUAUCCAGUAGAUUUUAGGAGUAUCAAGAACUAAUUUAUCCA